UUUAUUUUUCCUUUUUCUUACUCUGUUCCUCUUCCUUCUUUUCCUCCAAGUAGUACUUCAGAAUGUCGUUCAGCUGCUGCUCACACUGGCUUACAUGUUGCAAUCCGUUUUCUUGCCCUGAAAGCAAUAUUCAAUAGGAUAAUUACGUAUCACUUCACAGCGUCCAUCACGUAGUUGCUGUGUGGCAAUGAGAACAUCUAUUUCCCAAAACGUAUCAAAUGGCUAUCAUAUUUCUACAUCAUUGUUCUUCACCUACUUGGUUGCCAACUAAGUAGACAGAAUAAAAUUAGUAUUUUGGCACUUCUCUUGUAGUGAAUUCUUAUCUGGUGUUUCAGAGACUAAAAACUCCUUCUGUAGUAUCUGCUAAGGUGGGGCCUCCCUGUGCAAAGAGCAGGCGUGUGUCUGCAAAGACACCCCAGUGGGUGCUGGGGAGUUGGAUUCAGACAGCUUAUUGAAGACAUUUUAGAAACUGGGACUUUCUCUCGCUUCUCUCAUUCAAUGAGAGUUGAUAAGGCAAAAGUUAGGAUGAAAUGUACUCAUGCUUUGAGAUGUGAAAUGAUUUCCCAGUUGUCUUCCCCUUGUUUAGUAUGUACUACUCAGAAAUAGAGUUACAUUGCUUUACAAUGUGUUCCUGCCUGGGUCUGCUAUGUAAAAACCAAAUCGGUAAAGCACUAGAAAUGCAGUAGCCAUCUCCAGAUCUCCUUGCCGGAGAACUUUGUCCAUCUAUCUGAUGCCAUCAAGAGAAGAAAAAAGAAGUCCCAUCACUGGAUAACAAAAAUACUUAGCAUAUAAAAGCAGUUUGAUGAUAGAACUGCAAACAAGCAACUUUUGUGCUUGUGAUCUACUUGCAAUAUACAAUGGGAAUAUAUAUAUAUGUAUAUAUAUAUAUAAUGGGAGUAUAUAUAGGAAAUAUACUGUAUUUUGUGUAGUGUGCUGUAUGGGAACUGUUGAGUCAUGGCCUGAACCACUGAUUGAUCACCUGAUGAAAGGACUGAGUCAGCCCUGGGAGCACAGGUGAAGGCAAUUCAGCUGUGUGAUCAGAAAGCGGUGGAGCCUGGCUGCACCUCUCUUAGCCCCCAUUUAAGGGCUGACUGGCACUGGGGAAGGAUCUCUUUCUGGAGAUCCCUCCUUUGUGGAGUCUGUCUUGCAAACCUAGAUCUUUGGCUACAGAACAACGAUCUCCUUCUCGGCUCCUUGGAAUGCAUCUACAGUGGACACCUGGACAGCCUUCACUGGAAAAGCCUCGGAAUGUAUGCUCCUAAGCAAGUUCUGUAUCUGUAGACAAACAAAUAUGGAUGUUGAUGAAUUAUGCUGCUCCGUCACUUAUUUGUCUUGAGCAAAAGCUACAAGUCUGAGCCUACACAAGAUGCAAACUAAGCAAUUAUGAAGUGCAAUGACAAUAUAUCUUCAGCUACCUACAGUAAAAUACUAUGGAAUGAGACUGCAUUUGAUAAAAUGCUGGUCUGCUCAGUGUGACAAACUGUGCUUGCAUUUAGUAAUCACAGCAGCCCGUAUCAUGCCCCGAGUGACUGAGUGAGGUACAACUGCAGCCUUGCUAUGCAGGUCUCUCCAUUAUCUGUCCUUGUCAUGCAUAUCAAUCUGUAAUGGCACCCACAUCAAAUAUUAAAAUUAUUAUUAUUAAAAUUAUUUAAUUUUCCAAAUUUUCUAAGUGGGCAGGUGUAUGGGAACUAUUGAGUCAUGGCCUGAACCACUGAUUUUUCACCUGGGGAAAGAACCUGUCAGCCAUGGGAGCACAGGUGAAGGCAAUUCAUGUGUGGGAGUGGAAGGAGUGGAGCCUGGCUGCAUCUCUCUUAGGCCUCAUAAAAGGGCUGAUUGCCACUGGAGAAGGAUCUCUGGCUGGAGAUCCCUCUCUGGGAUCUCUCUGGAGCUUUCCCCAGUGAACAUAGAUUUUUGGAGAUGGUGACCUACCACAGCAGUAUCCUGUCAACAGCAACAUUAGUGGAAGAAGCAAUCAGGAGUUUCCAUGGAGCUAGCUCUGGACCCUCCUUAGCUUCACUGCUUUCAAAGAGCUGGACUAGGAACAAGAUCACAACAGACAGCAAGUAGCUCUUUCCAGCUCCAAAAACACCUGGUAUGUUAGAAGAAAAAGCCAAAAAUUCACAUGAAGAUUUUCUAGAAAUACAGUUUUGAUCAACUAUUGUAAUGUAAUUUUAUCUUGUGAUAAUAUUGCGCUGUAAUUCCUGUAAAAAACAUUGCUUGCACUUGCUUCAGUAGCUGAAAGUAUCAAGGGGCAACCAGUUGGCUUACACUUUACUGCAUGUGUUGUUUUUAUUUAUUUGCAUGCAUCUCUCAUACUGUGGCCUCACGUACACAAUAAAAAAAUUGUGGUGAUGAUGUUUUCUUUCUAAUCAUUCUAAUUAAAUUAAUGCAGCAAUAGCUAAACUACAUUUUGGGCAAUGGAAAUGUAAUCCACAUGAAGACUGUUAUUAUUGGCCAUGCAUAUAUUUUUGCCAGGAUCCAAAAACUUAUGAUAACUCCAUCUCAGUACUGAUUUGAAGAAGUUUUUUAAAAAAUUGAAUUAAGAUGUUACUCAUGUAUGCAUGCUGAAAAGAGAUAAAACAAGGAUAUAAGGAAGUAUAGAACAAGGAAAAAAAUAACAAAAAGUUUAUAUAAUAAUUUAGCAAAGCUUACACAUGAUGACAAGUAUUUUAAUAUGAAAAAAUAAGCAGAAGACAAUCCUAACUUUAUAUAGAAAUUUUGGUAGGAAAGAUCUCUACACAUAAGGUAAAAUACUGCAAAAGGCAGGACGCAAAUUCAAGGAUCAAAAGUUCUGUGCUGACAGAAUACAUGUUACGAUUCUAAUGUCAAGGCCCUUACCAGAAGGACCUCAUGCAAGGCAUGAUUUUUUUAAGGAAAUGCAUGGACAGUAGUGUUAUAGAAGUGCUGAAAAGGAUAUUCCAUACACAGAGGCAGUUGAUUCAAUGCAUCUUUUUUUAUACUACCUUUAACAAUAAGUCAUUGUUUACCCAGACUUAAGGAUUUCUUUUUAAGUCUGUGUAGGACUGUAAAUACAUGAAUACAAAGGCAGCUAGUCUACUGUUUUGUCACUGAGAGAAGUUAGGGAUAUUUCACUAAUGUUGGUGUUACAUAUCAACUAGCAUUUUUGCAAAGAAUAAAAUAGCAAAUGUUAC